GGCUCCUUAGCUCAGUAGGACAAGAGCGCUGGCUUGAAAACCCAGAGGUCACCGGUUCAAAUCCGGUAGGGGCCAC
rnacentral:tRNA from 1 species